AUUUACUGGGUUAGUAGUGCAAAAACAUUCACAAAACUCGUAGAAAAACAUAGAAACAAGUGACCAAAGAUUCAAGAACUGCAUCUUCCCGGAAGUGAGGCAUACCGUUCCUGGCCCAUCUCUCUCGUAGAUAUAUACAUUAGAUUUGUUCAAAUGGCCAAGAAGUCGAGACCCAGGAAAUUAUCUGUGUACCUCUACAUUCCAAACAUCAUUGGAUAUAUAAGGGUUCUCAUGAACUGCUUUGCCUUUUACAUUUGCUCUUCAAACAAACAGCUUUUCUCAGUUCUCUACUUCAUUAGCUUUGUCUGUGAUGCCUUGGAUGGUUGGUUUGCUCGCAAAUUUAAUCAAGUUUCGACCUUUGGAGCCGUUUUGGACAUGGUGACAGAUAGGAUUAGCACUGCUUGUCUACUGGUAAUUCUCUCCCAAGUAUAUAGGCCUGGCUUAGUUUUCUUGUCAUUACUGGCUUUGGAUAUUGGCAGCCAUUGGUUCCAGAUGUAUAGUACAUUCUUGGCAGGCAAAGCUAGCCAUAAAGAUGUCAAAGACAGCACUAAUUGGCUAUUCAAGGCGUAUUAUGGAAAUCGGAUCUUUAUGUGUUACUGUUGUGUUGCAUGUGAGCUACUUUACAUAACUCUAUUUCUUCUGGCGAAGAACCAGAAUGAGAAUCUGACCAAGGUUGUACUGGAGGCUGCCAAGCAGAACUCAGCUCUUGCCGUUCUACUUGCUUUACUAUUGGUUGGAUGGGCGAUCAAGCAAGCAGUAAAUUUUAUACAGGUAAGAAGUAUGGCUGUCACUAAGUAAAGAAGAAAAACAUUUCCUGUCCUAUACAUUUGUGGAAGACAAUGGGGUUCGGCGUAGGGCCAGGACUACGGCCUGGCUCCCUCACCAGGUGUGAUGGCUGCGUUCGAGUCUUCUGCCAGACUCAUUCCCUUCCUCUUUAACCUCCCUACCAAAUAUUGAAAGAAGCUUAUUUCUGGGUGGCGGUGAAGUUUAGCUAUCCUAAGCCUACACUAAAAUGGACAAAAUAUUACCUCCAUUCAUACAGCUACUCAAUGUGGAGCUUAUUGUGAGUUUGUCUUGAAAAGUAGUAGUCAUGACUCAUGCAUAUGCUUCUGAUUCUUGUUAGCAACUGUCAAGCCUCUUUGUCUAAACUGUAAUUCAGUUGAUAUGCAUAUCUUUUAUGCUGAAUUUUGGUGCAUAUUACAGAUUCAGUAAUAAGUUCUUUUACUCAUUGUCUAAAGUUAAGGGUAAUGCUUGCAUUGAUUUUGGAUAACGUUUCUCAGUUUAGACUAUAAUGAUGCUGAACUGUCUCACUUAGAUUUCAGAUGUUUCCUUUUCUAUCUAUAAAUUGGCAGACAAUAAUGACAACAGUGACAAUACCCUCCUCAUGUAGAUUAUUGUUUAUUCGCAGGCUAUCUGCUACUUGUAACAUUACACUUUUUUCAGAGAGCUUUUCCUAAUCAUUUGCUAUUUUCUCUGUUAUGUAUGUACUUUUAGUUGGGGUCUGGGAGGGGUUUGUGAGUCGAAAAAUGGGGUUGUGAUUAAAUCUUUAACAGCCGAUUGUGGUCGCUAAUGGAUUACCUUUUCACUUUCAUUGGUCUGGCUGAUGUGUGUUGUCAUGAUGAUUCUAAUACACUUUUUCUAGUAGGCUUCACUGCAAAGGUUCAGUGGGGAUUCUAGCCGUGCCUUUUCUAAUUGGUGUUCGCAUGUCAUUCUUUCGGAUUUCUUUUGUUUUGGGUAUUGUGAUCCUGGAAUUGCAGUGAUCUGGACCAAGUUGAAUUGAAACUCGUUUUUAUGGUCUCAGAUGAAGACAGCAGCAGAUCUAUGCGUGGAUUACGACAUCAACAAAAAGCAAAAGGCGUAAAACUUUAACUGAGAAAUUUCUCCACAGCAUCGUUGCUUCAAAAAACAUGCAGACCUCCUUAUCUUCCUGACCUCAUUGAGUUAUCCGUUGCUUAAGCAAAAACAUCCUGGAAGCAGUGUAACCAUUUACCAUGGAUCAUGACUAUUUGUUUGGACUUACUACAGAUAGGAAAAGAUUAACUCUCUAUGGUUUUUGUAUACUCGGAAUUGUGGUUUUGGUUUUCUUUUUGUAGGCCUAGGUCAUUUAUCCUUGGAAGGACUGAUGUACAUUGUUCUGUAAUCAGAAUGAAGAUGGUUUCUCUCA